AAGUCGUAACAAGGUUUCCGUAGGUGAACCUGCGGAAGGAUCAUUAAUAAAUGCUUCAUUGCAUCCACCUUUUGUGCACCGUAAAUUUUCACUUAAACUUUGUCUGAUUUAUAUCUGUUCUGAAAGGAACAUGAAUUGUAAUCUAAUACAACUUUUAACAAUGGAUCUCUUGGCUCUCGCAUCGAUGAAGAACGCAGCGAAAUGCGAUAAGUAAUGUGAAUUGCAGAAUUCAGUGAAUCAUCGAAUCUUUGAACGCAUAUUGCGCUCUCCGGCAUUCCGGAGAGCAUGCCUGUUUGAGUCUUGGUACCAAUCUGGUGUAACCUUUGUAUUAAGGAUAGAACUUUUUAUAAAAAACUGCAUUGAGACGUCUUGAUAAGUAAAAUUGUUAAGUGUCUUAAAAUACAAUAGUACAGCUAUAGCUCACCCUCUUUGGAGUAAUAUGUGACCUGAAAGGGUAACUCUAUUUCUCCUCGUUGGGAAGACUUGUUGCUGGAAGUUUUUGAUUGCUGAACGUCAAAGGCGGCAUUCAAUUGUUCGAGUAACGACGAACUUAAAAGUUCAAGCUCAAAUCAGGUAGGAUUACCCGCUGAACUUAA
rnacentral:rRNA from 1 species